UUCAGAGGUCCCGAGCGUUGUUCGGAUUUACUGGGCGUAAAGGGAGCGUAGGCGGUUCGGUAUGUCGAAUGUGAAAGCCCACAACUCAACUGUGGAAAUGCAUUCGAAACUGCCGGGCUAGAGUACUGGAGAGGAGAGCGGAAUUCUUGGUGUAGCGGUGAAAUGCGUAGAUAUCAAGAGGAACACCGGUGGCGAAGGCGGCUCUCUGGACAGAUACUGACGCUGAGGCUCUAAAGUUAGGGGAGCAAACAGGAUUAGAUACCCU
rnacentral:rRNA from 1 species